rfam:Mannheimia haemolytica PHL213 Ctg46, whole genome shotgun sequence.
UCACCACCACACUUUAACCUGAUAUCUUUCGGGCAUUUGGUGUGUGCGGAAGAUAACUCUUCCGAGCAAGUGUAGCAAAUCAAUAAAGAUCUCUCGGAAGGCAACUUUCGAGAGAUUUUUUUA